rnacentral:rRNA from 1 species
AUUGAACUCUGGCGGCAGGCCUAACACAUGCAAGUCGAACGAGUGGCGGACGGGUGAGUAAUGUCUGGGAAAUUGCCUGAUGGAUGGGGAUAACUACUGGAAACGGUAGCUAAUACCGCAUACCAUCAGAUGUGCCCCGAUGGGAUUAGGUAGUAGGUGGGGUAACGGCUCACCUAGGCGACGAUCCCUACCUGGUCUGAGAGGAUGACCAGGCACACUGGAACUGUGACACGGACCAGACGCCUAUGGGGGGCAGGAGUGGGAAAUAUAGCACAAUGGAAGCAAGCCGGAUGCAGCCAAGCAGCGUGAAUGAAGAAGGCAUUCGGGGUGAAAAGUACUUUAAGCGGGGAGGCGUUACCCGCAAGAGAAGCACCGGCUAACUCCGUGCCAGCCGCAGCGGUAAUAC